CUGCAGUAAGAGCAACUCCAACAGCCUAGCUAAAUUGAUUUGGCUGGAUAAAUUUGAAGAAAUAGCAGUGAAAACCUCAUCCAACAGACUCUCCUUCCUCAUCUUCUCGCUAUUCCAGUCGGCAUUUUUCUCCCUCCGCUAGCCUUUUUCCCCGAGCGCUCUCCCCUCGCCAUCUUGCUCCUCCCGCGUCGCUCGCGCCUGCUCGCGCCGACACCGCCACUCCGCCCCUCCCUCGCGCGCAGAGCAGGGAGCCCCCGCGACGCAGCUAGCGGCCAGGCUGUUCGCCCCUACCUCACGCGCCGGGCAGGGAGAGCCGGCCAAGCCACCGGCGGCCAGCCCGUCCGUCCCUCGCUCGCACCGCAGAGCGGCCAAGCCGCCGUUGGCCGGCCCGUCCGCCCCUCCCUCGCCCGUCGUCUUUCUCCUGCGCGGGCGGCGUGGCUCCUAGCGGCGGCGCUGCCCUACGCGCGCGACGGCGGGAUCGAGCAGGAAAAAAAUCGUCAAGAAAGGAACGGAUGUGGACCCGUUAUGAAUAUGGAGAGUCCGAUUUGAAGAGGCUGUUGGGUUUUCAACUGUUUUAGAAGUUUUAUAUUUGUUUAGAGAGCUCCUAAAAUUUUAAAUUUGGCUAGAAUUAUAGCUAGUCUCUUGGAGUUGCUCUAACAAUUCUGUGGCUGGAUUGCAGAUGAAUUGCUAUACAAGUUACCAUGGCAGGUAGAA